rnacentral:lncRNA from 1 species
CCACCAUGGAAGCCAUGUCUCAGGCCCUUAUGCAUCACAUAGCCCCCGGCACCCAUGGCAGCCAGCGGCACCCCGUACUUCAUGGCCUUGCUCUGUAAUGGAGGACUGUGAUGACACCACUCACUCAUGGAGUUGGUACAGGUGUGAUGCCCCCAAGGCCCCUGCCACUGCUGUCCCUGCUCCUGCCACCAUCCCCAGCAGGCCUUUCCCUCCCAUGCCGCUGCUGGAUUGGUUAUGGGGAGCCGCCUGCUGCAAUUCCAGACAUGGUGGUGAAUUAAAAUCUCAGGAAUGAUGUUAAUAAAUUCUUUAAUAAUGAUCUAUACACUGUUUUUUUUCUUAUAUCUUGGUACCAUAUGAGUAUUAUGUUUUACAGCUUAUUUUUAGUGUGUCUCUGUAUGUGUGUGUCUCUGUAUUAAUACCUGCUAGAAUAGCUACUGUUCUGCAGCUGCAAUGCAAUGCUGCAAUGAGGCACCAAGUGUAACAAAAGAUAAAACAUUCACCUUUAAAAAAUGCUACAAAUUUAAAAAUUUUGGAAUAAUAUAAAUUUUCAACUGAUCACAAUAUUUACUUUGUCAAAGAGGCACCUUGAAGAACCCAUCAGCCCAUCAGCAUGUGUAUGACAGUAGCUUUACUUUACUUCUGUAAAAUGUGCCUAACAAUGCAUAUUACAUGCAUUGCUAUUUCAAGAUUUCUGAUAAAUGGAUGCAGUAAUGAAUGGCAACCAUUUAAUGGAUUCAAAGGAUAACCAUAUUAUCUGCAUCAAAGUGAAAACACCACUGGUUAUAUAUAAUGUGACCAAGUACCAAAGACCAUAACAGAUCACCAUUAUCUGACAAAAUGAAUACUGAUUCAAAGUUUUACAUUUUCAUAUAAGUAAAGAGGAGAUACAUCUGCAGUUUUUUGCUGCCUUGGGCCUUCUAAUAACAGACCACCAUCUACAACUCACAGCUUCCUUCCCUCUCCUUUUUCAACUCCAAUCUAACACACUAAAUCAUAACUUGGAUAAAAACAUGAGACUCCAUCCUUCCUAUUCUUCUAUUAUUUCUCUCUUUCUUAUGUACAUUAGUACAAAAAGUGAACAUACAGCCAGGUCACCGCUACCAAGCAACAUGCUGGUGUGUAGCAGGUCUAACACAAGAGUCACUUUGCCUCAAGUCACACUGUAACACAAGAGACUCAAAAGCCUAACACAGGACGGGGCCACAGCAAGCCAUAUAAUGCCAACAAGGAUAACUCUUGAUGCAGGGAAAGAGAAAGGGCUGCUACUCUCCUUGACAUUUGCAGUGAUGGAUGCAGUAACUGGCCUGAGCUUGUUUAUUUGGCAAUGGAGCAAUCCUCAUUUGUAGCCACCUGCUGCAAGGAUACUGAGCUUGCACUAUUAUAAAAAAACUAUAGUUUAUCAUUUACAUGAUGAAGGCCUCAGCUUUGCAACCAAAUGACAAUGAGUGUGUGAUCACCACCUGAGAAAGGUAUGAAGGUUGGAUGGUUGUGAGGUGAUGUGAACAGUAAGUGCUCAUCAGCCAUGUGUGUGUGUGUGUAAACAAUGCCUCUACUCAACUCUCUGAUGGUUGUAGCAGACUUUAUUCACUAACCUGUUGAUGUUUAUUGGACUCCUACAUACUUGUUACCUUCAGCUAUACAAAUAUGAAAUUCUUCCUGUGUUGCAGUGUAUGGAAAUAUUUAAUUCUAAUUUUUGGGAGGACCUGUCUUAAUUGGAUCAGAACCUGUCGUUUUCUGCCACCGAUUUCAUUAAAACUAGCAUGAAUCAUGUUUAACAUGAGCUAUUAAUGGAACCUCAGCUGCAUCAGUGGUGACCUAGCAGUAUCAUCACCAUUAAAUGCUGUUAUCAAGUUUUUUCAUUGCAUUAGCAAAGAAACAAAACGAAUACAUCAUUGGAUGAUCAAUCUCAAAUGAGUGAAGAUAUAAUGUUUUCAGUAAAAUAUUUAGAAUAAAAUAUUUUGUGAAAAUUACUCACAGAUAAAAGAUACAAGCAAAAGAAAUAAACUAAUAUGAGAAAAAAGCUGAGCGAGGGAAGUGUGUGUCCUCCAACACAGUUUUGACUAGAAGGAGCACAGUGUUUCUGUCAGUAAUGUCCAUUAAUCUGCUUCUCACAUGAACAAUUUGUUAUAUGCAGGUAUGUGAAAGGUUGUACAGUACCGUGACAUGGAAAAUCCAAUAUUCACUGAUGAAGCACUUGGCACCUCAAAUGUCGUGCUUAACCACUAUCAGGUUUUACUAACUACGAUACGAAUAUUCUGACUAAUACUGGUGUGUGUGUGUGUGUGUGUGUGUGUGUGUGUGUGUGUGUGUGUGUGUGUGUGUGUGUGUGUGUGUGUGUGUGUGUGUGUGUGUGUGUGUGUGUGUGUGUGUGUGUGUGUGUGUGUGUG